UACUGGUGGCAGGGGCACAGAGCAGAGCCUCUGGGCUGCUGGCUCAGGGGACAUGUCCCUGAGCAUUUGAGGAGAGGAGAGGGUGUGGUCAGCUGUUUCGUUUUGGAGCUCUUCCUGACUCUUAGAAGACUGAGAUGUGCCUGGCUGCAAAGAAGACAAAGUUGAAGUCACUCUUCUAGAAACUGCCUGGUGCAUAUGUCAUCACGACAGAGAUGAAAGGUUGGGUGUAUGAUCUCUGUCUUUGGUCUCUUAACGUAGAGCAUGGCUCAGCUUACCAGACAUCACAUCAGAUCCUGGAUCCUCCCAGCGUCGCCUGGAUUGGCUGCCCUGGAGACACACUUUGCGAUCCCUGCAAGCUCAUUCCAGUCCCCAGAGUGCCUGGAACCCUUGCCACUGAGAUUCAAGAAGAAUGAGAUAAGUCCUAAGAAUGUGGUGGAUUGGGCUUGAGUCCCCUCACAAACAUAUACUUGAUACCCAGCAGGAGACUUUGCACGCUGAACCCUCCCAGUGUGAUUCCCCACAACGACAGGACAUUGCUGACUGGAACCAGAGUGUCCCCCUCAUUUCCAAACCAUGUUCUGGCCAACUUAUCAUCAGACACAGGUCUCUAGUAGCUUCUGGCGUUUCAGAGACCAAGGAAGGUCAAGUUUGCUGAAAGUCCUAGAUUCCUUUGGCUUCACUACACUCAGAACUUACAUUAGGAGAACCCUCGUUCUCUCAUGAGCUCCCGCACAGCCCACUGCUCUGGCUAUGCUCUGCUGAAGCAGUCUGCCCAUCGUGGCCUGCUAACUGGUCUUCCAUGGAGGCACCGAGGCUGUGCCACCUUGACCUUCAGAGCCAUACC